UGUGAUGUGCUUUCACCCAUUAAAAAUGGUCGUUACGGUUGAAGGAAGCACUUGAUUUCAGAAGGUUCUCCUGGGAAACAGCUCAAUUGUUGGUUUUUGUUUUCAGUUGCCUGGUUUUCAGCGGUGGCUGCAAACGCUCAUGGAGAGCGGCAGCCAUGCAGCUAGCUGAGUAGAUACUGAAGAUUAAAGCUAGGAAAUGAGUCAGCCUAAGUGGCAUUGCACCUAGUCACAUCUUCUCCCAAGAUCUGAGUCCAAUGGAUCCUUCUCCCUGACCCAGGCUUCUGCUGAGAGAUAGUUAAGGAACCAAGGCCUGGAUCUAGAGUUGCUUCUUACACUCAGUGGGCUAGUCUUGGUAAUGGGAAUUCCGCUGCCCCAAGCUGGCCCAGUGAGCACCUUGUCUCCUGGAAUGUUGGCAAUCUUGAAUGAAUUCAUCAAAAGGGAAAAAACGAUUCUUCAAACAUAGAGCUAUAAGAAUAUUCAUUAUGAAAUGACUUUUAUUCUUCCACUUUAUAGUGAAGUAUCAAAGAGUAUGCAUACCAUGCUGCUCUGGCCUGUCACUUUCCCAGCCUGAACACACUUGCAUGGGUACCCUGAUCAGGAAAGAGCUCAUGACCUGCACUCCAGAGAUGCCCUCUCCUUGUUGUAUUGCAAUUUCCUCUUAGAAUACAGUCCAUCCUGCAGGGAAGCUCCUUAAAACAGAAGAUAAACAACUCAAAGUAGCUUCAGGAAGUUCCUGAAACCCAUCAGAUUCACUAGGCUGCUCCCUCCCAAGAGUAAACAAUAAAGACUUCUGACAGUCACCAAGCUUCCAGCCAAGCUGCCUGGAAGAUGCAGAGCAGGGCCAAGAAGCAGAAAGCAGUGGAGCUGCCUGGAAGAGGCUCAGAUCACCUGAGCCACCUGGAAAGGACACUCUCCAAACUUUUGAGCUGCCUGCAGGCCCUGCAGUGUGCUACAGGUUUCCAGGUCUUGUGAGCUGUUACCUAUGAUGAGUUGUUUCCAGAUCAGUGAUAUGGAAAGCAGGGCUGUAUGAGCAUACUUCUGGUGAACAUCCGUCUACAUUUGGGGGAUGUAGACCUAGAUGUGGAAUGACUGGGACAUGGAAUGCUGGGUUUUAGAACAUGACCAACUUUAGAAGACAUCGCUGAACCAUGUGCCGAACUGAUUAUAGCAGUUUCCACGCCCAGCAGCUCUGUAGUAGUUCUGGUUUCUAUACGUGCUCAUUAACACUCCAUACUGUCCAUUUAAGAACCUGCAGGGUAUGGCACGGCAGAUCUGUUGAUUACAGCAUUUAUUUGGAUGGAAAGACAGGAGAAGCUGGAAUUCAAGGUCACUUUUGACUACAGAGGGAGUUGGAACAUUUAUGAGACACUGUCUCAAGAAAACAAACAAAAUUUUAAGCCUGAAGUGGG
rnacentral:lncRNA from 1 species